rnacentral:rRNA from 1 species
AACGAACGCUGGCGGCAGGCCUAACACUUGCAAGUCGAGCGCCCUUUCGGGGGAGCGGCGGACGGGUGAGUAACGCGUGGGAAUAUGCCCUUCUCUACGGAAUAGCCUCGGGAAACUGAGAGUAAUACCGUAUACGCCCUGUGGGGGAAAGAUUUAUCGGGGAAGGAUUAGCCCGCGUUGGAUUAGGUAGUUGGUGGGGUAAUGGCCUACCAAGCCGACGAUCCAUAGCUGGUUUGAGAGGAUGAUCAGCCACACUGGGACUGAGACACGGCCCAGACUCCUACGGGAGGCAGCAGUGGGGAAUCUUAGACAAUGGGGGCAACCCUGAUCUAGCCAUGCCGCGUGAGUGAUGAAGGCCUUAGGGUUGUAAAGCUCUUUCAGCUGGGAAGAUAAUGACGGUACCAGCAGAAGAAGCCCCGGCUAACUCCGUG